CAUACUAAUUCCAACGGUUACAUUACAUGAGUUGCAACGAUUUAUAGUUAAAAUACUCAUACUCGUAUAAUCUAUAAUCUGUUACAACUAAACCAGCAUACUAUGUAAGUACUCAAACGCUACACAAAUUUUAUUUUAUACGAUUAUAGUUUUAUUACAAGUACAUAGUAUGGUGAUAGCAGAUAUUAAUCUUCAGAAGGCCCUAAGAUCAAUCACAAUAUCUAGAGAAAACCAUUUCAUUAAAGCUGUGGUCAAUUUUAAAAAUGCUCACAACCUAGAGAUGCUGCACAAAUCAUUAAUCUAAAUAAACAGAAUAGUAAUUUCAAGGACGUACCACCAGUAUUUAUAUCUUUUAAUAACGAUUUAAUUCUAAUAUUACAACACAUACAUAUUUGUUUUCUUUUGAAAAUAAGAUAAAAUACUUCUACUUUGAGAUAAAUUUGAAUAUUUGUUGAACUAUUCCAAAAUUGUUUUUUUCGUGAAAUUUGCAAACACUAAUUAUUAUAUUCAAAUGUUACAAGACCAAGCACUAAAAAUCAAAUUAUUUAGAAGAGCCUAAAAACCGUUUAUUUAUGAAUUAACUUGUUCUUAGUUCAUUUAAUAUUUUUUGUUUAACUAUUUACUAAAUAGUUAAUAUUAUACGGCUGUAUUUAUUAAUAUUAUUGUUAUAAUCGUUGUUUUUUUCUCAACUUUUAACUUAAGUUUUGUCACUUACGUCCAAUUUAGUAUUUUUAAAACAGAAGUUUUUUUAUUUCUAAAAAAAUGGUGCUUACGCUUAACUAUUAAGUUUGAUAUUUUUAGCCACUUACGACUUUCAAACAAUUUUGAAAUACCGUAGCCCGAUAACAUUAACAUUAUUAUCAUAAUUUUGCCAAGGCUGUGAUCAUCAAUAAUAUUGUCGAGUAAAAACGCGAAGAAAUUUAUAAAUGGUAACAUCGUCCUAAGUAAUAAUAAACGACGCAUUCGCCAUUUCAUAUUUUCUCGUGUGUCGCUUACACCAUUUGUUGUUGCUAACGACCCAAAUGUUUGACUAUUACAAAUGUUUGGUGCUUAUCAAAAAUACUUAAACAUCGAUAAAGUAAAUUAUAUGCAUCGUUACCACAGACCACUCUAUCUGUAUGCGUCUUAAUGUGACAUACGUAAAUAUAACAAAAAGUAAAUUUUCACAAAAUGGUCGCCAGAUAGCCUUCUAACAGUCGAAUUAUAUUUGAUUAAAUAUUUUCAUUUUUAAUAAUGAUAUUUACGGCUGCGAUGGCGCUAACCCGACUACAACUUUUCAGCGACGUCAUUAUACGUGAGACGACGUUUUGGCGGUUUGACGUUGUUCGAUAGAUAAUAAAAACAUAUGGUAAUAUAUAAUCUAAUAUAAUAAUUAUUAUAUAUCUAAAUAAUUGGCAUUGGCAUAUAAAUCUAGGUAGUAACUACCUAUUACUUUUUAUUUACUUAUAUUUACUAUUUGUUUUAUGCUUGUGCUGUAGACUAAAAACAUGGUUACGUUCAAAAAUGGGCCAGGAUCGAUUAUGCGGGCUUGCACUGCUGCACAUAUACCAAGAAAUAAGUAUACCAGGGAUGGAAUUAUUAAAUGAUUUUACUCGUAUGCAAAACCGGACUUUUUAUUGUAUUACAAUUUAUUAUAAAAUUAUUUUAUAACAUGCAUUAUAUUAUAUUAUAUUGAACAAC
rnacentral:lncRNA from 1 species